rnacentral:rRNA from 1 species
AGAGUUUGAUCCUGGCUCAGAAUCAACGCUGGCGGCGUGCCUAACACAUGCAAGUCGAACGAGAAAGCGGGGGCAACCCCGUGAGUAAAGUGGCGACCGGGUGAGUAACACGUGACUAACCUGCCCUUGAGUGGGGGAUAACCUCGGGAAACCGGGGCUAAUACCGCAUAACAUCCUGUGGGUGCAAUUCCCGUUGGAUCAAAGGAGCAAUUCGCUGAAGGAGGGGGUCGCGGCCGAUUAGCUAGUUGGUAGGGUAAUGGCCUACCAAGGCGACGAUCGGUAGCCGGCCUGAGAGGGCGCACGGCCACACUGGAACUGAAACACGGUCCAGACUCCUACGGGAGGCAGCAGUGGGGAAUUUUGCGCAAUGGGGGAAACCCUGACGCAGCAACGCCGCGUGGAGGAUGAAGUCCCUUGGGACGUAAACUCCUUUCGACCGGGAAGAUAAUGACGGUACCGGUGGAAGAAGCCCCGGCUAACUUCGUGCCAGCCGCCGCGGUAAUAC